rnacentral:rRNA from 1 species
GGCGAACGCUGGCGGCGUGCUUAAUACAUGCAAGUCGAACGGAAAGGCCCUGCUUUUGUGGGGUGCUCGAGUGGCGAACGGGUGAGUAACACGUGAGUAACCUGCCCUUGACUUUGGGAUAACUUCAGGAAACUGGGGCUAAUACCGGAUAGGAGCUCCUGCUGCAUGGUGGGGGUUGGAAAGUUUCGGCGGUUGGGGAUGGACUCGCGGCUUAUCAGCUUGUUGGUGGGGUAGUGGCUUACCAAGGCUUUGACGGGUAGCCGGCCUGAGAGGGUGACCGGCCACAUUGGGACUGAGAUACGGCCCAGACUCCUACGGGAGGCAGCAGUGGGGAAUAUUGCACAAUGGGCGGAAGCCUGAUGCAGCAACGCCGCGUGCGGGAUGACGGCCUUCGGGUUGUAAACCGCUUUCGCCUGUGACGAAGCGUGAGUGACGGUAAUGGGUAAAGAAGCACCGGCUAACUACGUG